UGGGGAAUAUUGCACAAUGGGGGAAACCCUGAUGCAGCGACGCCGCGUGAGCGAAGAAGUAUUUCGGUAUGUAAAGCUCUAUCAGUAGGGAAGAUAAUGACGGUACCUGACUAAGAAGCUCCGGCUAAAUACGUGCCAGCAGCCGCGGUAAUACGUAUGGAGCAAGCGUUAUCCGGAUUUACUGGGUGUAAAGGGAGCGUAGGCGGUGGUGCAAGUCUGAUGUGAAAACCCGGGGCUCAACCCCGGGACUGCAUUGGAAACUGCGUCACUUGAGUGUCGGAGGGGUAAGUGGAAUUCCUAGUGUAGCGGUGAAAUGCGUAGAUAUUAGGAGGAACACCAGUGGCGAAGGCGGCUUACUGGACGACAACUGACGCUGAGGCUCGAAAGCGUGGGGAGCAAACAG
rnacentral:rRNA from 1 species